rnacentral:rRNA from 1 species
GAUUACUAGCAAUUCCGACUUCAUGCAGGCGAGUUGCAGCCUGCAAUCCGAACUGAGACAAUUUUUCGGGUUUCGCUCUGCAUCGCUGCUUUGCAUCCCUCUGUUAAUUGCCAUUGUAGUACGUGUGUAGCCCAGGUCAUAAGGGGCAUGAUGAUUUGACGUCAUCCCCACCUUCCUCCGUUUUGUCAACGGCAGUCUCAAUAGAGUGCUCUUGCGUAGCAACUAUUGAUAAGGGUUGCGCUCGUUGCGGGACUUAACCCAACAUCUCACGACACGAGCUGACGACAACCAUGCACCACCUGUCUUUGUGUCCCGAAGGACGUCAUAAUCUCUUAUGACUUCACUCGAUGUCAAGACCUGGUAAGGUUCUUCGCGUUGCUUCGAAUUAAACCACAUACUCCACUGCUUGUGCGGGCCCCCGUCAAUUCCUUUGAGUUUCAACCUUGCGGCCGUACUCCCCAGGUGGAUUACUUAUUGCGUUUGCUCCGGC